GCCAACGUAGCAUAGUUGGUUAAUGCACCUCAUUCGUAAUGAGGAGAUCCGUGGUUCGAACCCGCGCGUUGGCU